UUUUUCCUAUUUAUUUAUUAUAGUUAUAUCCGUUUCAGAAACAAACUUAUUAUGUGGAAUUUUAUGCAUCCUACUCAAGAACAUGUUUUAUGUGCCAUAAUAUUCAAAUAUCAAAAGUUGGAAGAUCUAAAUGUCUUAAUAGCAUAUGCCUUUAUUUUUCUUUUCUUUUUCAUUCACAAAAUAAAUGUAGUGUAUGUAUUCCCUAGCUAUGAACAAUGUGAAAUGCAAGUUCACCUGAAGGAUAAUGCUAAACAUUGCUUCAUCCAGCAUGACAAAGUCAUUGCUUCUUGUUGUACAAUAAGCAAAGUGCAUAGAAAAUUCCCUCUCGCAUGUUUCUUCAAUGAAUUUACAUGAGGGAACAGAUGCUAUCACUUGAAGAAUUGUGCACAGUGUGUCCUGCAACAAAGUCAACAGUUAGCCUUAUAGUGGACUAACAAUGUGAAAUGCAAGUUCACCUGGAGGAUAAUGCUAAACAUUGCUUCAUCCAGCAUGACAAAGUCAUUGCUUGUUGUUGUACAGUAAUCAAAGUGCUUAGAGAAUUCCCUCUCGCAUGUUUCUUCAAUGAGUUUACAUGAGGGAAAAAAAUGCUAUCACUUGAAGAAUUGGGCACUGUGUGUCCUGCAACAAAGUAAACAGUUAGCCUCAUAGUGGACUAACAAUGUGAAAUGAAAGUUUACCUGGAGGAUAAUGCUAAACAAUGCUUCAUCCAGCAUGACAAAGUCAUUGCUUGUUGUACAAUAAUCAAAGUGCACAGAGAAUUCCCUCUCGCAUGUUUCUUAAAUGAUUUUACAUGAGGGAAAAGAUGCUAUCACUUGAAGAAUUGGGCACAGUGUGUCCUGCAACAAAGUCAACAGUUAGCCCCAUAGUGGACUAACAAAUAUCUUGCCGAAAAGUUUCUGCUUCAUCGCGCACUAAACUUGGCAUAUCAGAAAACUUGUUGUAUGACCUUCCAAUAGGAGAACACAAUCCCUGCAGGUAAUAUAUAGAUAAAAGGCAUUAAUUAAUAUCUUAUAAUUCAUUUCCACAUUUAGCACUAAGUACCAUAUUGAACAAAUGAGCAUGAAAGAUAACAAGUUGAAAAAAAUUCGGGAGAUUACCUCUGAAAGGUGCUCGAGAAUUGUUUUGCAGCAUUCCUGGUGAAGAAGAGAGAUCCCGAACUUAUCUGUCAGUAGAAGAAGCUAGAGUAACAGUGCAUUAGUGCUGACUUGAUAGAUGUGAACUUCAGUUAUGGGCAGCUGUAAUCUCAAGGGGUCCUACAAAUUAUCCACUGAAUGCAAGUUAUAAAACAUCAGAUUCAUAUGCUUUCCAGGAUUCACUUGGUACAUCUUUAGAAGAAAUAUGCAAGGUUGUUCCAGGCUAUCUUAUAUUCUUUCCUAGCUAUAAACUGAUGGAGAAACUAAGUAGUCGAUGGCAAGAAACAGGCCAAUGGGAUUGACUUAAUAAGAAACCCCUUUUUGAUGAGCCAAGAGGAAGCCAGGAAGAAUUUGAAUCUGUUUUGAAGGGUUACUAUGAAUUCAUUCACCAGGGAAGUAAACCAGUCUUGGGAAGAGGGAAGGGCAGGAAAUCUGAGAAGAAUUUAUCAAGAUCUUCUAAAGAUAACAAGAAAGGAGCUGCUUUUCUUGCUGUCUUCAGAGGAAAGGUAUUCAACAGGAGCUUCUUCCUAGGACUCUUUUCUACCUUGUGUUUAAGUGCUGAUUCCUGUUAUGAUCUUUCUGGAUAAAUCAGAUCACAAGUAUGGUUUAUUAUGAUUCCCACUUUUGUGCUCAGUCACAGCAUUGUAUUGAACAAAAAUUCCAGCUGGAAGUUAUAAUACUUACCAUAACUGAUGUGGGAAUUCAUUAUUUAGCAUACAUUGUUCAAGUCAUGCCAAAGUGUUCUUUAUUCUCAUAUUUGCAUCUGUUGGAAAACAAAGUGCUAUUAACAUUCUCUUAUUUUACUCAUGGUAAAAGUAGAGUUAUUGUGUUAGUUGAAUAGUCAUGCCCCACAAUUGGCAGAUGUUGUAAAGUGUUGAGACUCACAUUGCCGAUAAAUGGUAGGCACAAAGGCUAUUGCAAUCUCCAA